UUGAAAGGGAAACGAUUGAAGUCAGUCGUACCUGUGGGUAAUCAGCCUUUUGGGUGUGAUUUGUGGAGUGUGAGGAGUUAAACGCCUUCAUGCCUGCAUAUUCGUGCACUUUGGGUGUAUUUACCCGUGUGGUAAGUUAACAUCAAUUUCGGUGGUCAUAAAAUGGCUGGAGGAAUGUAGCUUCGAUCUUGUAUUGAAGUGUUAUAGCCUUCGGUAGAUGUGAUAAUCGGGAUUGAGGAUUGCAACGGAUACCCCUCGGGGCUACCUGUCUGAUCUCUGAUCGUUGCUCUGGUGCCGAAAGCUUGCUUACGGUUAUCAAAGUCGAUGGUCAAUAGGUUAGAACGGGUUAAAUUCGUUAAGGAUGUUGACGUA
rnacentral:rRNA from 1 species